UCGGGAAUAUUCGGCCAAUGCGCGAAAGCGUGACCGAGCGACACCGCGUGGGCGACGAAGAACUUAGGUUUGUAAAGCCCUUUUGCUGGAGAGGAACCCUGUUGCGAUAACAUCAAAGCAGAAUGACAGUAUCCAGCGAAUAAGCCGCAGCUUACUACGUGCCAGCAGCUGCGGUAAUACGUAGGCGGCAAGCGUUAUCCGGAAUUACUGGGUGUAAAGGGUCCGCAGGCGACUUGUUAAGUUAGGAGUUAAAUCCCAAGGCCUAACCUUGGGGCUGCUCUUAAGACUGACAGGAUAGAGUGUAGGAGACGGAAGUGGAAUUCCUGGUGGAGAGGUAAAAUCCGUAGAUAUCAGGAGGAACACCUGUGGCGUAGGCGGCUUCCGAGCCUAUAACUGACGC
rnacentral:rRNA from 1 species